GGGGUGUGGUGUUUGAGAUAUAGAUAGAGGUUGCGAGCACAUAACACCCGAUGUUUUCGGGGUGUUGAUGUGCAUUUUUUUUCGAAUUGUUUUACUCAUA
rnacentral:misc_RNA from 1 species